rnacentral:lncRNA from 1 species
CUGGCUUUGAUAGGAUUGGUGACCUGGUCAUUUGGGCCACUGUCAUUUCAGCUUGUUUAUAUUCAUGAUGUAAAUGCUGUGAGCCAGGUCCAAGGGCUUUGGGCCCACACAUCACUGAGUAGCUCCACCUACAGACCUUGCCUCCAUCCUGGCACAGAGAAAAGCCAGGAAUGUUUGGGCAAAGACUCCUGGGUCUAGUCAGACUCUGACUCUGGUCAGUCCUGGGAGAAAACAGAUUUCCUCCACAGAAUUCCAAAGUUGGCCAGACGCAUAGAAGAAGGAAACCAAGUUUAAGCCAAGCACAGCAGCGUGUACCUGUAAUCUCAACACUUGACACGGUAUGACAGGAAGAUUACAAGUUUGUGUCCUGGGCUACAUAGUGAAAACCUGUUUCAGGAUGCAAACCACAGAAAGAAAAACCUAUGCAUUCUGCAGGGAUAGCCUGACCUGGAGCGCACGGUCACUGACUUGAGCCCUGGCAUCGGUGACAGUGAGGUCAUCUUGCAGGCUCAUUGAAGCUCAUCAGAACAUGAUUGUGUGGGCUGCCUUACUGGAAGCAUUUUCCCUAGGGAUGCAAAGACCACGCCCCGCCCCCUCUUCUCUUAAGCAAACAAUUUCCUUAUCAGCUCCAAGAUCAUAAGCGCGGGAGUUAGGAUAAGACAGGUUAGUUGCUAAAGAGAGGGCUGAGGAACCUCUCCAAGUGUUUGCAGCAGAGAAAAGAGGAACGGGAGAACAUUUCCUCCUCCUGGAGCCUUCGCCACAAGCCCUUCCACACUUGGCCAGGGGCUCUGAUGGGAAAAGGUUUCAAAACAGCGAGGGACCACAGUCUCCAAAGCUAAUAAAAGGGAUAGGAAACAUUUAGCAAGUGCUUGAUACUCUCCAGGAGCUGCUCUAAGUGUUUGCACAUGAAUUAACUCAGUUAAUCCUCGCAACCCUGCAAAAGAGAAAG